rnacentral:rRNA from 1 species
GAUCCUGGCUCAGGAUGAACGCUGGCGGCGUGCUUAACACAUGCAAGUCGAACGAGGAAUUUUAAAUGAGACUUCGGUGGAUUUUGAGAUUCCGAGUGGCGGACGGGUGAGUAACGCGUGGGCAACCUGCCCUGUACAGGGGGGACAACAGCUGGAAACGGCUGCUAAUACCGCAUAAGCGCACGGUAUCGCAUGAUACAGUGUGAAAAACUCCGGUGGUACAGGAUGGGCCCGCGGUCUGAUUAG